UCUGGAAUAGCUCAGUUGGCUAGAGCGUGUGGCUCUUAACCACAAGGUCAGAUGUUCGAGCCUUCGUUCUAGUG
rnacentral:tRNA from 1 species